GCCGCUCCGAGAGGGCGUCCCUGCAAGGCUUGCAUCACCCCCGGAGCCUCCUCUCACAUCGCCCCGGCUUGCAACACCUCCAUUUCUCGUCCCCCGCACAGAAGCGGGGUCCCUCGGCUCUCGAGAGGGCUGGGAGUCCAGGGGAAUCUUUGGUAACCGUCUCACUGAAGAGAUGGGUGA